AUCGGGAUGCAAAACGCGUAAAUA
rnacentral:siRNA from 1 species